CACCAUACACCAUUCCCCAUUCUAUUUACACGAUCCGAAAUUACCCAUAAUGCAAUUAAAUUUUAAAUAUUAAGAUUUUUAUUAUGUUUAUGCUUACAAUCCGAAAAAAUGAAAUAAAAAAAUCUUCGUUUGCAACCAAUGAAAGGUCGUACACUAUCAUUCACACCAUUCCCGAUCGCACGUUACACAAUCACACCAUUCCUCAUACACCGUAACACCAUUCCCCUUACACCUUACACCAUUGCACCA
rnacentral:lncRNA from 1 species